rnacentral:rRNA from 1 species
UAAGGAAUAUUGGUCAAUGGACGCAAGUCUGAACCAGCCAUGCCGCGUGAAGGAUGAAGGUCCUCUGGAUUGUAAACUUCUUUUAUCUGGGACGAAAACGGGAUUUUUAUCCCAAUUGACGGUACCAGAGGAAUAAGCACCGGCUAACUCCGUGCCAGCAGCCGCGGUAAUACGGAGGGUGCGAGCGCUAUCCGGAUUUACUGGGUUUAAAGGGUGCGUAGGUGGGCUUAUAAGUCAGUGGUGAAAUCUCCGAGCUUAACUUGGAAACUGCCGUUGAUACUAUAGGUCUUGAAUUAUCUGGAGGUAAGCGGAAUAUGUCAUGUAGCGGUGAAAUGCUUAGAUAUGACAUAGAACACCAAUUGCGAAGGCAGCUUACUACAUAUAAAUUGACGCUGAGGCACGAAAGCGUGGGGAUCAAACA